CGGACGGGUGAGUAACACGUGGAUAACCUACCUAUAAGACUGGGAUAACUUCGGGAAACCGGAGCUAAUACCGGAUAAUAUUUUGAACCGCAUGGUUCAAAAGUGAAAGACGGUCUUGCUGUCACUUAUAGAUGGAUCCGCGCUGCAUUAGCUAGCUGGUAAGGUAACGGCUUACCAAGGCAACGAUGCAUAGCCGACCUGAGAGGGUGAUCGGCCACACUGGAACUGAGACACGGUCCAG
rnacentral:rRNA from 1 species